rnacentral:rRNA from 1 species
UACGGGGGUGGCGAGCGUUACUCGGAUUCAUUGGGUGUAAAGGGCAGGUAGGUGUCUUGCCAAGUUUUAGGUGAAAUCCUUUCGCUUAACGAAAGAACUGCCUAAAAAACUGGCGGGAUUGAGUGUGGGAGAGGAGAGUGGAAUUCCCGGUGUAAGGGUGAAAUCUGUAGAUAUCGGGAGGAACACCAAUGGCGAAGGCGACUCUCUGGUCCACAACUGACACUGAACUGCGAAAGCUAGGGGAGCAAACAGG